rnacentral:rRNA from 1 species
CUGUUGCAUAAAAAGAGCAGACACAGGAAAAGUUUGGAACUGAUAGAAAGAAAGGGAAUUGGACUGUAUAAUAAAAACAAAGCAUUGUGAUGGUGUAGACAAGCGUGUAGACACAAUGUGAAUUCUGCCCAGUGCUGAGAAUGUCAAAGUGAAGAGAUUUAAGGAAGCACGGGUUAACGGCGGGAGUAACUAUGACUCUCUUAAGGUAGCCAAAUGCCUCGUCAUCUAAUUAGUGACGCGCAUGAAUGGAUGAACCAAAUUCCCACUGUCCCUAUGUACUAUCUAGCGAAACCACAGCCAAGGGAACGGGCUUGGCAACAUCAGCGGGGAAAGAAGACCCUGUUGAGCUUGACUCUAGUCUGACUUUGUCAUAUGACUCUCCAAGUGUAGAAUAAGUGGGAGUUGUUUGUGUCUUUGUUCCUUGUGGGCAUAUGGUGGAAGCAGCGCUGGUGAAAUACCACUAUUGGAGAAGUUGUUUUACUUAGUUAUUUAGCUAUAGAGUGGGAUAGGAUUUGUUAGUUUUCGUGGGUUAGUUCUUGCGGAAGUUGAUGGUCCUGGAUGUCCCAUGAGUUGAUGGAAUUGAUGUGUGUUGUGUGGUGCAGUGAUGUGACACAUGACAGCAUGUUGGUAUAGAAUAGCGAAGGAAGUUAGAUAGGGAGUUUGGCUGGGGCGGCACAUCUGUUACAUAAGAACGCAGGUGUCCAAAGAGUAGCUCAGGGAGAACAGAAAUCUUUCGUGGAAUAUAAGGGUAUAAGCUACUUUGAAUUGUUGGUUUUCAGUAAGAAUCGGAACGGUGAAAGCGUGGCCUAGCGAUCCCUAAUGAGGCACUGAGUGGUUGUACUAGUGCACAGUGCUGAGUAGGUCUUUAGAAUAUAAAGCUUGGGGUGUCAGAAAAGUUACCACAGGGAUAACUGGCUUGUGGCUGCCAAGCGUUCAUAGCGACGCAGCUUUUUGAUCCUUCGAUGUCGGCUCUUCCUAUCAUUGAGAAGCAGAAUUCUCAAAGUGUCGGAUUGUUCACCCGCUAACAGGGAACGUGAGCUGGGUUUAGACCGUCGUGAGACAGGUUAGUUUUACCCUCCUGAUAAGUGUUAAUGGAGACUAUCAUCAUUAGAGUAAUUCAACCAAGUACGAGAGGAACCGUUGAAUCAUAUCAAUGGCGUGACCGUGUUGCUGGACAGCAAGUGAUGGGAUGCUACCAUAUGAGAGAUAAUGGCUGAAAGCCUCUUAAGCCAGAAUCUCUGCUUGUGACAAGUUGAUGAUAAGUGUGGUGUUGU